AAUAGAUACCCAGGUAGUCCACGCCGUAAACGUUGGAUACUAGGUGUGGCGGUUAUACCAAUGACUGCCGUGCCGAAGCUAACGCAUUAAGUAUCCCGCCUGGGGAGUACGGCCGCAAGGCUAAAACUCAAAGGAAUUGACGGGUCCCCGCACAAGCGGCGGAGCAUGCGGCUUAAUUCGAUGCAACCCGAAGAACCUUACCUGGGUUUGACAUCACGGGAAAAGCUGUAGAAAUACAGUGUCCAUUAGGGCCCGUGACAGGUGGUGCAUGGCUGUCAUCAGCUCGUGUCGUGAGAUGUUGGGUUAAGUCCCGCAACGAGCGCAACCCUUGUCCUAUGUUGCCAGCGGUUCGGCCGGGGACUCAUAGGAGACUGCCGGGGAUAACUCGGAGGAAGGUGAGGACGACGUCAAGUCAUCAUGCCCCUUAUAUCCAGGGCUGCACGCAUGCUACAAUGGCCGGUACAACGGGCAGCGACCCCGCGAGGGUGAGCGAAUCCUAAAAAGCCGGUCCUAGUUCGGAUUGAAGU
rnacentral:rRNA from 1 species